CUACGGGACGCUGCAGUGGGGAAUAUUGGGCAAUGGGCGAAAGCCUGACCCAGCGACGCCGCGUGAAGGAAGAAGAUCUUCGGAUUGUAAACUUUUGUCAGCAGGGAAGAAGAAAGUGACGGUACCUGCUAAGAAAGCCACGGCUAACUACGUGCCAGCAGCCGCGGUAAUACGUAGGUGGCGAGCGUUAUCCGGAUUUACUGGGUGUAAAGGGUGUGUAGGCGGACUUGCAAGUCAGGUGUGAAAUUCAUCAGCUUAACUGAUGAACUGCACUUGAAACUGCAGGCCUUGAGAGUCGGAGAGGUAAGCGGAAUUCCCAGUGUAGCGGUGAAAUGCGUAGAUAUUGGGAGGAACACCAGUGGCGAAGGCGGCUUACUGGACGACAACUGACGCUGAGACACGAAAGCGUGGGGAGCAAACAGGAUUAGAUACCCCGGUAGUC
rnacentral:rRNA from 1 species